GACGAACGCUGGCGGCGUGCCUAAUACAUGCAAGUCGAGCGAAGCGGCGGAUGGGUGAGUAACGCGUGGGUAACCUGCUCUUAAGUCUGGGAUACCAAUUGGAAACAGAUGCUAAUACCGGAUCCUAAAGGAUGGAACUGCGAUGCAUUAGCUAGUUGGUAAGGUAACGGCUUACAAAGGCGAUGAUGCAGAGCCGAGUUUAGAUACUGAUCUGCCACAUUGGGACUGAGACACGGUCCAGACUCCUACGGUAGGCAGCAGUGGGGAAUAUUGCACAAUGGGCGCAAGCCUGAUUCAGCCAUGCCGCGUGUAUGAAGAAGGCCUUCGGGUUGUAAAGUACUUUCAGCGAGGAGGCGUUACUCGCAGAAGAAGCACCGGCUAACUCCGUGCCAGCAGCCGCGGUAAUUC
rnacentral:rRNA from 1 species